rnacentral:rRNA from 1 species
GAUGAACGCUGGCGGCGUGCCUAAUACAUGCAAGUCGAGCGAACGGACGAGAAGCUUGCUUCUCUGAUGUUAGCGGCGGACGGGUGAGUAACACGUGGAUAACCUACCUAUAAGACUGGGAUAACUUCGGGAAACCGUAGCUAAUACCGGAUAAUAUUUUGAGCCGCAUGGUUCAAAAGUGAAAGACGGUCUUGCUGUCACUUAUAGAUGGAUCCGCGCUGCAUUAGCUAGUUGGUAAGGUAACGGCUUACCAAGGCAACGAUGCAUAGCCGACCUGAGAGGGUGAUCGGCCACACUGGAACUGAGACACGGUCCAGACUCCUACGGGAGGCAGCAGUAGGGAAUCUUCCGCAAUGGGCGAAGGCCUGACGGAGCAACGCCGCGUGAGUGAUGAAGGUCUUCGGAUCGUAAAACUCUGUUAUUAGGGAAGAACAUAUGUGUAAGUAACUGUGCACAUCUUGACGGUACCUAAUCAGAAAGCCACGGCUAACUACGUG